GCCGCUCUGGCCCAACUGGCAGAGGCGCCGCAUUCAGGAUGCGGAGGUUCAGGGUUCGAAUCCCUGGGGCGGCA
rnacentral:tRNA from 1 species